rnacentral:rRNA from 1 species
UACGGGGGGAGCAAGCGUUGUUCGGAUUUACUGGGCGUAAAGGGUGCGUAGGUGGUUGUGCAAGUCUGAUGUGAAAUCUCCGGGCUUAACCCGGAAAUGGCAUUGGAAACUGCAUGGCUAGAGGGUUGGAGGGGGGACUGGAAUACUUGGUGUAGCAGUGAAAUGCGUAGAUAUCAAGUGGAACACCAGUGGCGAAGGCGAGUCCCUGGACAACACCUGACACUGAGGCACGAAAGCUAGGGGAGCAAACAGG